rfam:Leuconostoc mesenteroides subsp. mesenteroides ATCC 8293, complete genome.
UAUGUAUGUCUGGGGUGCCCGCGAGGGCUGAGAAAUACCCAUUGAACCUGAUCGGAUUAAAAUCUGCGUAGGAAGAUGUGAUUAAUAGAUU